UCCCUGGUAGUCCAGUGGCUAAGACUCUGUGCUCUCGAUGCAGGGGGCAUGGGUUCAAUCCCUGGUCAGGGAA
rnacentral:tRNA from 1 species